CGCGCCAGGAGCUGGCUUUGCCCAAACUAUCUGGUUUCAAGUUGCGAGUCUCCCGAAUCCCUGGGAAGGUGCCCCAGGGACAGGACUCCCUUUGCAGGGCCCCGAGGAUUGAUGAGAAUCCCCCCCAUCCCCAGCCACCCAGAGGAUAAGCAGGUGCCAUUGGAAGCCAGAAGAAGCCAUCCGGUCUACUGAGGCUGGAGCUACAGGUAGUGGUGUGUUUCCCAAUGUGGCUUCUGGGAUGGAACUCCAGUUCUCUACAAAAUCAGAUCAACCCCCUUUCCUGCUCAUUCAUUCUGCUCUCCUCUGAAGAGACACUUGGACCUUUCUGCAAGAAUUUCUAAGCCGCCAUGGUUCUGCCAGCCAUUGUACAAGUAGAAGGAGGUGGGAAACUCAUAUACACAGACUUGUAGGAACUGGAAAACCUGAGAUUGUCCUUGUGAGGGAUUCAGAGCCCUGAGCCAAUACCUAGUGCUGGAAACUCAUCCUGUACACUGCUGAGCCAGCCGAGCAUUAGAAUGUUCUUUGUGCUUCCUUGUUUGAAGCUGUGUUCCUCCUCUCAGAAUGUGUUCACUUCAGCAACUAAGGACAUGGAUGAAUGAAUGAGCUCCAGGCAGAUGUGUGCCACAGAGACAGUCUUCAUUAAAAGAGCCACUUUGAUCCCUGAUAGGGAUAUCCAGGGCUGGCCAGUCAGAAACAAAGCCACGGAGUCCGUGCCUCGCAGAGAGAGAAAGAGACCCUAAAAGAUAACAGGGAUGGAGUAUGCCCAAGUGAGUCUCUGGAACUGGCACAAUGGUAACUUGCAAUGCUUUGGGAAGUCAACCUUCUCCCCAGGACCUCGGCCACCUCUUCUGCAGAGUGCCUUACUGGAAUCCAUGAUCUCUGAGGACCCAAAUAAACUAUUAACUUAUUUUAAUGAGACUUUAGUAGUGUCUCAUUAUGAAUA